GAUGAACGCUAGCGACAGGCCUAACACAUGCAAGGUCGGGGGCAGCAUUAUCGAAAGCUUGCUUUUGAUAGAUGGCGACCGGCGCACGGGUGAGUAACGCGUGAAUAAUCUACCCCUGAAUUUGGGAUAACAGUUCGAAAGGGCUGCUAAUACCGGAUGACAUAAUCCUUACCACGGUUUGGAUUAUCAAAGAGGGCCUCUCCUUGGAAGCUCUUGUUUGGGGAUGAGUUCGCGUACCAUUAGCUUGUUGGUGGGGUAAUGGCCUACCAAGGCUUCGAUGGUUAGCUGGUCUGAGAGGAUGAUCAGCCACACUGGAACUGACACACGGUCCAG
rnacentral:rRNA from 1 species